CGCCUCCUAAAAGGUAACGGAGGCGCUCAAAGGUUCCCUCAGAAUGGUUGGAAAUCAUUCAUAGAGUGUAAAGGCAUAAGGGAGCUUGACUGCGAGACCUACAAGUCGAGCAGGGUCGAAAGACGGACUUAGUGAUCCGGUGGUUCCGCAUGGAAGGGCCAUCGCUCAACGGAUAAAAGCUACCCCGGGGAUAACAGGCUUAUCUCCCCCAAGAGUUCACAUCGACGGGGAGGUUUGGCACCUCGAUGUCGGCUCAUCGCAUCCUGGGGCUGUAGUCGGUCCCAAGGGUUGGGCUGUUCGCCCAUUAAAGCGGUACGCGAGCUGGGUUCAGAACGUCGUGAGACAGUUCGGUCCCUAUCCGUCGUGGGCGUAGGAAAUUUGAGAGGAGCUGUCCUUAGUACGAGAGGACCGGGAUGGACAUACCUCUGGUGUACCAGUUGUCGUGCCAACGGCAUAGCUGGGUAGCUAUGUGUGGACGGGAUAAGUGCUGAAAGCAUCUAAGCAUGAAGCCCCCCUCAAGAUGAGAUUUCCCAACUUCGGUUAUAAGAUCCCUCAAAGAUGAUGAGGUUAAUAGGUUCGA
rnacentral:rRNA from 1 species